rnacentral:rRNA from 1 species
AAAUUGAAGAGUUUGAUCAUGGCUCAGAUUGAACGCUGGCGGCAGGCCUAACACAUGCAAGUCGAACGGUAGCACAGAGAGCUUGCUCUCGGGUGACGAGUGGCGGACGGGUGAGUAAUGUCUGGGAAACUGCCCGAUGGAGGGGGAUAACUACUGGAAACGGUAGCUAAUACCGCAUAACGUCGCAAGACCAAAGUGGGGGACCUUCGGGCCUCACACCAUCGGAUGUGCCCAGAUGGGAUUAGCUAGUAGGUGGGGUAACGGCUCACCUAGGCGACGAUCCCUAGCUGGUCUGAGAGGAUGACCAGCCACACUGGAACUGAGACACGGUCCAGACUCCUACGGGAGGCAGCAGUGGGGAAUAUUG